AUGCUUAGUACGGCGAGUGAAGCGGCAAAAGCUCAAAUUUGAAAUCUGGUACCUUCGGUGCCCGAGUUGUAAUUUGGAGAGGGCAACUUUGGGGCCGUUCCUUGUCUAUGUUCCUUGGAACAGGACGUCAUAGAGGGUGAGAAUCCCGUGUGGCGAGGAGUGCGGUUCUUUGUAAAGUGCCUUCGAAGAGUCGAGUUGUUUGGGAAUGCAGCUCUAAGUGGGUGGUAAAUUCCAUCUAAAGCUAAAUAUUGGCGAGAGACCGAUAGCGAACAAGUACAGUGAUGGAAAGAUGAAAAGAACUUUGAAAAGAGAGUGAAAAAGUACGUGAAAUUGUUGAAAGGGAAGGGCAUUUGAUCAGACAUGGUGUUUUGUGCCCUCUGCUCCUUGUGGGUAGGGGAAUCUCGCAUUUCACUGGGCCAGCAUCAGUUUUGGUGGCAGGAUAAAUCCAUAGGAAUGUAGCUUGCCUCGGUAAGUAUUAUAGCCUGUGGGAAUACUGCCAGCUGGGACUGAGGACUGCGACGUAAGUCAAGGAUGCUGGCAUAAUGGUUAUAUGCCGCCCGUCUUGA
rnacentral:rRNA from 1 species